AGAACGAACGCUGGCGGCAGGCUUAACACAUGCAAGUCGAACGGUUGUAGCAAUACAGCAGUGGCAGACGGGUGAGUAACACGUGGGAACCUUCCUAGGGGUACGGAACAACUCAGGGAAACUUGAGCUAAUACCGUAUACGUCCGUAAGGAGAAAGAUUCAUCGCCCCUAGACGGGCCCGCGUAGGAUUAGGUAGUUGGUGAGGUAACGGCUCACCAAGCCUACGAUCCUUAGCUGAUCUGAGAGGAUGAUCAGCCACACUGGGACUGAGACACGGCCCAGACUCCUACGGGAGGCAGCAGUGGGGAAUCUUGGACAAUGGGCGCAAGCCUGAUCCAGCCAUGCCGCGUGAGUGAAGAAGGCCUUCGGGUUGUAAAGCUCUUUUACCAGGGACGAUAAUGACGGUACCUGGAGAAUAAGCCCCGGCAAACUUCGUGCCAGCAGCCGC
rnacentral:rRNA from 1 species